UACGGAGGGGGCUAGCGUUGUUCGGAAUUACUGGGCGUAAAGCGCACGUAGGCGGCUUUGUAAGUUAGAGGUGAAAGCCCAGGGCUUAACCCUGGAAUUGCCUUUAAGACUGCAUCGCUAGAAUCGUGGAGAGGUGAGUGGAAUUCCGAGUGUAGAGGUGAAAUUCGUAGAUAUUCGCAAGAACGACCAGUGGCGAAGGCGGCCUCAC
rnacentral:rRNA from 1 species